UGAUUUUUGUAUACGCUUCCCUCUCAAUUUGGUUUUAUUUUGAAUAUAAGGCACACGGGAUGGUGGUGGUCCAAUUGGAAUUUCAUAUUACAUAGGAGCUCCCCAACGAAGAAUGGGUGGAGCUAGAGGGUUUGUGCAUUUCUACUCUUUUAGUAUUAAUUUUUUUCAGUAGUAUUUUGAGGUGCUGAAUUACGUCAGUUAGUGACAUUGCCUUGGAUAUCUGUUUGUCUAUGUAGUGGAGGCCAUCCAUCUUUUAUCAUAAGCACGACUGUAGAAGUUGUUGCUCCUCGAUCACUUGUUGCUUCUAUCUAUGGAGAGGAUGGAGGCUGUUUAAAAUCGAUAGCCGAGAUUUCUGGUGCUAAAAUUACCAUCACUGAAAAUGCACCUGGGGCAACUGAGACUGUCAUUAUAAUAUCUGGAACACCCGAACAAACCCAUGCUGCACAAAGCCUGCUUCAAGCAUUUGUAAUGAGCGGGAUAGCCUCCCCCUGAUUUGUCGUAGUAGAUAGGAAACCUUCCUUACAUUCUUCCUGUUGUAUCAAAGAAAAACCCCUUUCCAUUGUUUUUCGUGGAAUCCAUGGUUUCCAAACAUUGCCUUAGGGUGUUGACCUAUUUCACUAUAUGGAUUUGAAAGCUGUACCAACAUUAGCAAAAUAGUUGCUUGAUUGCAUUGCGUCACAGAAAACUUGGUUGGUUGCAAUUUUUUGGGAGUCAAUGUGCUUUAUUCUUCACUUGAUCCCUCAAAUCUCUUUUCAUACUUGUUUCAGCCUCCAUUGUGGGAGCGGUACCAGUAGUAACUAAAAGACUGGGAAUUGGCAAUGAACAGAACACAACUAUUCCAAUGGCUACAAGGAGAAGGCGGUGUCAGCUGAGAAGCCUCCUAUGUUUGCUUUCCAUUUGAGACCAAGGGGUUUGGAAGUGCCGAACAAGGGUACAAAGCAAAGAUCACAUAGGAAGUUCACAGCCAUUGGGCAGUAUGGUGCUUUUUCAAGAGACUAAAAUGGCUUAGAAGUUCACAUAGCAAGUUUUUACAUGCUGUCCCUUUAUUUUUUAUUUCAAACACAGGCGUGUUUGUUGAGUGGAUUGGCGUGAUUUCUAAGCAAAGGCCUCUACAAGGUUGGACACACCUGUUGGAUGGCUUGGAUCUUAGACAUGGAUGGCUAGUUUGCACAUGGGGUGGUGUGCAGAUGAGUUUUUUAUAUUGGUGUGGCAAACAUUAGAAUUUAAAUCACAAAUUAAGAUGAUUUCAAAUUCUAUGCUGUGUUUGGCAACUUAUAUUUGGAAUACAUGUAAUUUUAAAAAAAGGAAUGCAAUGAUGUCUUAUAUUUAUAGGAAUUUGGAUUUAUUUAUUAAAUCAACUUUAAUAUCUUAAA